rnacentral:rRNA from 1 species
UACGUAGGUGGCAAGCGUUGUCCGGAAUUACUGGGCGUAAAGAGCGCGCAGGCGGCUGGUCAAGUCCGAUGUGAAAGCUUCCGGCUUAACUGGGAAAUUGCAUCGGAAACUGAUCGGCUUGAAGGUGGGAGAGGGUAGUGGAAUUCCUGGUGUAGCGGUGAAAUGCGUAGAUAUCAGGAGGAACACCUGCGGUGUAGACGGCUUUCUGGACCAUUGUUGACGCUGAGACACGAAAGCGUGGGUAGCAAACAGG